rnacentral:rRNA from 1 species
UAACGCGAAGAACCUUACCAGGGCUUGACAUACUGAGGAAUGGCUGAGAGGUCAGCCAGCCCUUCGGGGCCUCAGAACAGGUGGUGCAUGGUUGUCGUCAGCUCGUGUCGUGAGAUGUUGGGUUAAGUCCCGCAACGAGCGCAACCCCUGCUGUUAGUUGGCAACGGGCAAAGCCGGCCACUCUAACGGGACUGCCGGUGACAAAUCGGAGGAAGGUGGGGACGACGUCAAAUCAUCAUGCCCCUUAUGUCCUGGGCUACACACGUACUACAAUGGCUGAUACAGAGGGAAGCGAAGUCGCAAGGCAGAGCAAACCCCCAAAAACAGUCUCAGUUCAGAUUGCGGGCUGCAACCCGCCCGCAUGAAGUAGGAAUUGCUAGUAAUGGCA